AACGAACGCUGGCGGCGUGGAUUAGGCAUGCAAGUCGUACGCGAAAGAGGGAGCAAUCCCUCGAGUAGAGUGGCGAACGGGUGAGUAACGCGUGAGAAACCUGCCCUAAGCAGGGGGAUAACACUCCCAACGGGGUGCUAAUACCGCAUGAGACCACGGGAUCGCAUGAUCCUGAGGUCAAAGGUGGCCUCUGCUUGCAAGCUACCGGCUUAGGAUGGUCUCGCGUCCCAUUAGCUAGUUGGCGGGGUAAUGGCCCACCAAGGCGACGAUGGGUAGCUGGUCUGAGAGGAUGGUCAGCCACACUGGGACUGAGAUACGGCCCAGACUCCUACGGGAGGCAGCAGUCGAGAGGCUUCGGCAAUGGGGGAAACCCUGACCGAGCGACGCCGCGUGAGGGAUGAAGGCCCCUGGGUUGUAAACCUCUUUUGUUCGGGAAGAAACGCGAUCAGGUAAAUAAUCUGGUCGCCUGACGGUACCGGACGAAUAAGCUCCGGCUAACUCCGUGCC
rnacentral:rRNA from 1 species